rnacentral:rRNA from 1 species
CAGUAGCCGCGGUAAUACGUAGGGUGCGAGCGUUAAUCGGAAUUACUGGGCGUAAAGCGUGCGCAGGCGGUUUUGUAAGACAGGCGUGAAAUCCCCGGGCUUAACCUGGGAAUGGCGCUUGUGACUGCAAGGCUAGAGUGCGUCAGAGGGGGGUAGAAUUCCACGUGUAGCAGUGAAAUGCGUAGAGAUGUGGAGGAAUACCGAUGGCGAAGGCAGCCCCCUGGGACGAGACUGACGCUCAUGCACGAAAGCGUGGGGAGCAAACAGGAUUAGAUACCCCCGUAGUCCCUGUCUUUUAUAC